rnacentral:rRNA from 1 species
GAUGAACGCUGGCGGCGUGCUUAACACAUGCAAGUCGAACGAGAAAUGGAGACGGACACCUUCGGGCGGAAGGCUUCAUUUCGAGUGGCGGACGGGUGAGUAACGCGUGGGUAACCUGCCUCAUACAGGGGGAUAGCAGUUGGAAACGACUGUUAAUACCGCAUAAGACCACAGCACCGCAUGGUGCGGGGGUAAAAACUCCGGUGGUAUGAGAUGGACCCGCGUUCGAUUAGCCAGUUGGCGGGGUAACGGCCCACCAAAGCGACGAUCGAUAGCCGAUCUGAGAGGAUGACCGGCCACAUUGGGACUGAGACACGGCCCAAACUCCUACGGGAGGCAGCAGUGGGGAAUAUUGCACAAUGGGGGAAACCCUGAUGCAGCGACGCCGCGUGAGUGAAGAAGUACUUCGGUAUGUAAAGCUCUAUCAGCAGGGAAGAAAAUGACGGUACCUGAGUAAGAAGCCCCGGCUAACUACGUG